rnacentral:lncRNA from 1 species
ACGAGGGAAGGAUUUGAGCAAUGCCCGGGAUCUGCAAAGCUUAGAACGCGCUGGAUGAUCAGUAGCUAGUGUGCACUGUGAUCCCCCUUCUGCUGCAGGUCAUGGCAAUUUGUCUGGAACUUUCGUAAGGCCACAGUCCAGAAAAGGGAAUACAGGCCCCUCUCUUUACAAGUAGACAGCUAGCUAAGACUUGAGCGCAAGUCCUGCGGCUAUUGAUUUUUGCUCUAUUCACCGUGCUUCUGUCAUUGUUGUUACUGGUCAGUGGGAUCAUUGGCACUUGAAGUGCACACCAUCGCAUGUCUACCUAUCACAUCGUUUGUUCCGUUUCGUUUCUCUCUUGUCUUUGAACUCUUGUUCCGAUCUUCAUAACAGACAGCUCCACUCGCUAGUACGUAGGUAGUUCAACAGCGCGCCAUGUAGUUGAGUUGUACUCUGUAGAGAGUAUGUGACGUGAAGAAUGGAAACAUCACAUUACUUUACUUGCCAUGUUUGGGUCGUCCUAAUCUCGAGUCCCCUUAAUUUGUCCAUAGUCUAUGGAAGAGAGGGGGGGGGGGGGCAGCAAUUUGCGUCUUGUGGCUCGUGAUUUGACAGGACGGGGCUAUUGUUUUUGGGGAAUUUGAGCAUAAGUGCGUAGCUAAUAGCUAGUUAGUCAGUCCAAUAAACUAAUUAGGAAACACGUACCAGAAAAUACCCGAAAAUUCUGCAUCUCACUGGACAGGUCAGUAAUCUCUAUUUCUGAUCUUAUCCUGUUGGGGAUGUGGUCUGCAGUCUGGCUUGCAGUAGCUGAACGCUCACCAGGUGACAGAAGGGCUACAGCCUACCGCUGUCAGUCCGGCUAGAGUUGUUGAACAGGGUCAACAGGACUAGAAAACGCCGAAAAUGGUUAGUUGUUGGCUUAAAGAGGUAUGUAGCGCACGGCCCAUAGACUGGGUUUGAUUUCUUGACGGCUGGAUGUGGACUCGAAUUGUGGAGAAAUGCGAGCCCUCGAACAUGAGUUCACCUCGAAGCGCUACUCUGCAGGAGUACUAGAGGCUAGGCUAAUGGCUAGUUGGUCGCUAGUGCGUCGUUAGUGAGGAACUGAACGUAGUGGAGAGAGAGCGAGCGAGCUGUCUCUACUUGGCGUCCCUAGGCACUUGGUCCCGACUCCCAAGCCAAUCGGAGAGCCCCUACCGGAGCCUUUUCCAAAGUACCGGAGUACUUGACUGAGCAGGCUCCAAGUCGAGGAUUGACAAGUACUGAAUACAAGUACAGGAGGAUACUUAGUAACUGUACUACGGACCCUGCGGAUCAACGUUAUCGCUCGUCUGGAUUUCCGCCGGGCUCGUCAAUAGUUCGCUAAUAGUUGUGUUGUCAUAUCAGGAGAAAUAUCGAGACCCAAAUUCCGAUUACCGGUAAAGCAGCAGAAGGAGAAAAGAAGCAUAGCAUACAUAAGGCGAAGGAAUGUUGGAUUGUGGUACAGGCCCCCAUGCCGAGUAAUGCUCCGGCUAAGUUCUGCGGGCUCGUAUAAUAAAUAAAACCAUGAUUUCAGUGGUUGGUAGGUUGAUGACAGUACGUAUGUAGCUGGUAUGUGACGUGAAUGCUGUCAGUCGCAUUCCAUGUUCGACUCUUGGAAUCAGGAAACUACAGUGGCAUGCUACGGAGAAAUGGUCUCAUGGCGCCCAUGGUCGCGGACCGCAUCCCCACAAUUCCUUAAUCCUUGAUCCUUGGAAUCUGGGCGAUCCAACAAGGCACGCAAAACUAAUGAAUGAUAGUACUCUACAGAGUGCUUCUUGGAAUGGUCGUACUGUGUACUGUUGUGACUGCUGACCGCUGACUGUUAGAGUCUAUUGGUGAGAUGUUCCUGAAUAUCCGCCCGCCAGUCCAUAUCGGGUGUAUACUUGAAUCCUCAUCAACACUUUCCCAGCGCUUUGGUAAAGGUCCAUUGGAGAAUUUUUAGAUUUCACCGGCGCCAGAGAGAGUUUCGACUACGGAGUAAUAGUUUGUUGAGUGGAUAAAUAGGUUGAAUAUUCCGAACACCCAUGAGCGAGUGCUUCUGGUGAUUUUACCUCCGAGCGUUGGUCUUCAAUCUGGUACCAAUAGUCCGUUUUUCUUCCGUGGGUGCCAAGGGAAAAAUUGACGAGGCGACCAGGAUGCCUCGUAAUCCUGGGAAUCCCUCCCAUGUCUUCAAGUAACUUACCUUAACGUUCGCCUUGAGGUGUAAGUAAGCAAGUUGAAAUGUUCUUUUCCUUACUCCGGCACUUUCAAAUGCCUGAGUCGAAGUCAAAUGUUGUGGGUUUCCAUCUCCUCUAAAACGACCCACAUCUUGUCACAGCAAAGACCACAGAGGGGAACUUAAUCUCUCUUAUUAUUAUUUGUUUUUCUGUUUUUCUCCCCAAAUUAUUAUUUUUUACUUCGUCUUUCAACACAUCCUUGGUUUUCGAACUGGACCGCCUUGUGACUGAACAGACCAAGAGGAGUUCAUGUUGAUGCAAUAUUGAAACCUUGGCCAGGGUAAGUCCUUGUAUGUGGGUGUGCAUUAGGUAUGAGUUAGCUGCAUUUCCAGCAAGACUCCAACCAACUUAGGUUAGUCGGGGCUAGAAGUCAACUGACUUCUCAAUUCUGCGCCUAUAUUCAGACUAGCCGGCCUCCCCACUAAAGAGCCUUCCUAUCAAAAAAAAGAUGAAGCCUUGGCUUGACGAUCGUCGGAUUAGCGUCAGAUAGGGCGUAUUCGGAGGGCCGGGAUGUUGCUGAGUCCGACAGUAGUUUUUACUGUACAUGGUAAGCACCGUAUCAAGCCUAAACACGAGGGAAGAGCAAUGAGGCGGAUCCCCAGAUUCGCCGGGCUGUUGGAACAAGGAUUGGUGGGAAAUACGUACUAGCACUGCGGUCAACUCAUCCCUGAUUCCCUAUGCGUGAGCUAAGUAGCUAGAUGAUUUUCUUUGCAGGACUCCACUCAAAUUUGACACAGAUGCCUGUUCGCCCAGCGACAUUACUUGUAUCAAACCAUUCUUCAACACUUGUCCAAAAGUAUGUUAUGGACUUUUCCCGAUAGGGAGUUCACAUUGUACCCAUCCUAUGCUUGGAUCACAGCCACGUUCUGUCAUUGCGCAAGGACUCAGGAGUCGUGUCAUCUGUCCCGUUGGAGAUGGGAGGAUUUCCGAGUUUAUGCGCGGGUCGAUGCCAUGAACCUUUUUUGUACAGGUGCACACAAGCAUUUCUUGUCUGUGUGACUGACUUGGCUCCGAGACGAAACAUAAUUCAAGAGCUGUUUCACAAGGCCCAGACAGAAACAGGGAACAACCUUGUACGGGCAAGCUUGAAGACAGGCACAACUUACACAAGGAUUAAUAUUCCGAGCAUCAUGCGCAGAGGAGAUAUAACCCGAUAUUGAGUCUUCCCACGGUGCUUAAACUUAAGAUUUGUUGGGUGCCGAGUGGAUCAUUGAAUCCCAAUUGAGCCUCUAAGCACUGUCACAGUGUUAACCCAGUCAACCCGCUAGUGGUGAACCAUAACAGCCUUAAUCAAGAGGGGACUAAAGUCAAACUACGCACUUACUCCGUACGUACAGUACUAUAGUAUCAGGUCAUAAUCUUGGCCCGUCUGGGUCCAAAGCAUGAGACGGCGCCGUAAAUAGCAAGGGGUGCGAUUGCCGUUGCGAUGGCAGAACGGUGAAGCCACUGGUUGGAAUAGACGAUUGGAAUGACUCAAGAGUAACAGUCACAGCCACAGAUGGUGACGGAGCAAAGACAAGGCACUGUUCCGUUCCUAGAGCUGAUAGGGUGCAUAGGCACCCCAUGCUUGAGUGUUUCCCCUAAAUAGCCUAGACCCAAGCUCGGGGCUCCGUGCUCAAUGGCGGUACGAGGGUGUAUUCGAUGAGCGACUGUAAGUUUGUGGGCAGAAGGAAAGUUGUAUUUUGAUGACUGGUGUUUGGAUGAAGAGAUUGUCUUGCAAGGUGAAGGUGGACGUUGCCUGAAGGAAGUCACGGAGGACGGGUCGACUUACCUACUCUUCUGGCGAGGCUCUUCGUUUCCACAACAAAGAAGCUUGAAGUCUAUAUUGUGACUCCCCCAAUACUACCUCGAGCGAAGGAAAUAAAAGAAAAACUUCAAAAAGAGACCCCAAAAAUGGAUACUCAGAGGGUCGAAACUCAAACAUUGGUCGACGACAUGCAUAAAGCCUGAUACUACCAAGCCAAUGAAGUGAUAGAGCAAGGCAAAAAACCACAAAAAAAGAAAUCUGCGAUCUCAAAAAUGCUCGAGGCGGAACUCAACUUUGUUUCGCGGUCAUUGGAUCCUUGAGAUGGCCAGACAGCGGUCAGAUUGCGUUGAUGUUAUCAACGAGUACCGACGAAUACCACAGGCGACGAUGUAAUGCGUAACACAGAGCAAGCAUUGUGCUACAAUAUACGUGCUACGCGACGAGAAGAUUGCCCUGAGACGCUGUCAGGCAUCUCUUUCUUUUUUUUCUCUUUCUUUUUUUCUCUUUCUUUUUUUAGGCUACCAUGUUACUAUCCUUCCGUCAUCGUCCGAUUACCUCGAUCUUCAUAUGCGGUCACGAAUGAAAAACGAUGCAACCUGACAUGCCGCUAACGAAUCUUUGUGGCUUAGAUCUCGAUGUCACGAUUUUCGAUACCCCAAACCAUAUACCGUCCCAAUGUUGCAUGCGUACUCCACCAGCGUUGCUUUUAUACGAAGAUACAUGCUAGAUUCUGAGGGUAUCGGAUGGUUUUGUGCUGUGGCGAUGGGGUAUUUAUGGUUAUUCAUACCAGUUUUGACCAAGCGCAAUAUCAACGCGCCUGUAUGGGGCGAAACAACGGACAUUUUCUGGUUCAUUGCCAUAAACUGGCCCUAGAUGGCAAUAAGGCGCUAUUCGAUACUAUAUGAUUCCGAGCCUGAACGACUCGCAAGGUUCACGACAGACCUUGAGAUGCAUCUCCGAUAUACGUCCGGAUGUAAUCUGGGACAAUUGCGUAAAGUAUCCAUGACAACGUCUAUUCCGUGUGGAUGGAUAGUUAUAUAACUAUCAGAAAAGCGGAUUACGUUAUGCUUUUAAUCUAACAAUAGCAAGCCUCACCAUAGAGACCGACGCCGUCAGAUGUUCAAUGUACAUGCAAAAGUUCAAUAUCUGAUAUGCAUAGCUGGCAAAUCUCUACAACAACGUCAUGAUUUAGCGAGGGUUCUGUCAGCCGGCAUUGCGGGGCAAUGCUUCAUGUAUGUUGCGGACUAAAUCCGAGGGAGAAACUGUCCGGCUUGAAGCCAAACUGGGCGUCGCUUAUUAUACCAGGUAUACUGGACAUCGAAAUGAACUUAACAAUUACCACGGAGAUGGCAGACUAAGUCCGAGUGAGAAGGCCGGGUUCCAAGCCACGAUGUGGAUUACCUACCUUGCUACUUGCUGACGGCGUUGUACUGCCUGUUCCAGGCAAAGAGGCCGUAUUAGCUUAUAGUUUGCAGUUGGUUCAUUCAACCAAUAACGGUACAUGCAUCUAUGAACGGAGAAUGCACCGUCAACUGUCGACGCGAAAAUGCAACAGCACCGAUGAACUGGAUAGACAGGCUAUAAACGAUAAAAUCCCGACUUCAUCGGGUUUAGACGAACAUGAUUACUAUCAGAGAAAGAAAAAGAAGACAUGGUACUAUACUACACCCGACAAAGCUGUGCAACCAAGUCAGAUGCUUGUCUUGUGUCAAGUGAUAAGUGCAUGUACCUACUACCUACCAUGGACAAUGGCAUGUAACAUCAUCACCAUCAUUCUACAGGUACAUACCCUAACCCAUCCAUAUAGUAUACACCCAUGACCCCGGCCUCGGACAAUAUAUUAUAUCUCCAAGGUCCGGUUAAACUCGUGUGCAUCGCGCAAAAUAUUAUACUCAGGGUGCUCAUUGGAUGGAUCCAUGCAAUCCACGUACUCCGUCGAGGAUCCCGGACUUCUCGGUGAACCCUUGGUAGGUGCACUAAUAGUGAUUGGCCAGAGUAUCGCAUCCAUGGAUGUCUUAACUGUCUGGAUUUUGGGGAAAUCAGAGCCUUGUGACUAUACCGGAGAAUUUGAUUUCGCGCACUCGGGAACCGGGGUUCGUUCAAUGCCAUUGUGCUUGACAAGGUUCGUGUGAUGGCUGAGGCAUACACCUUCUCUUCGCCGGUACUUCCCGGCUAGAUGGUCAUGGAUACCAUGCCUAUCUUCAUUAGCGAGAUGCAUGAACCAGGUAGGAAUAUGGGUGGUUGUACGAUGUAGGGCGUUACGCCACCCAGUGACUAUACUCGAGAUCUCAGUUUAUUGGCGGAGAAUUGGCAUCCGGCGCUCAUCCAUAUAGGUGGUUGUCAAUAGAUGAGAGCCAGCUAUGUUGGGAAUUGGACGUGCUCUUCGAGUCUGGCCUGAGGUGGACUCGUUGCUGUACAUCGCGAUUUCAGGACCGAUCUAUAGAGUCCCGAAUGUCAAGAAAGGCAUCCUGCAAGCCCUGAGCUCGGAUCUGGUGAGAAGAGGAAUUGCUUAAAGGACAGUUUGCCGAUAUCUUUGGCCCAUUUAUCCCAGAUAUUGGGAUCAUCCUCCUCUCGAUAUGAUUGCCUCAGUGGCACGGCUAUAUUGAGGUGAUGGCCUGCCCACCCUUUAUCAGUAUUUGCUGGAGUAUGCUGAUCGAGCUGAACUUUGGGCUGUGUUCAUGUUUGGAGAAUCAAACACUUCCAUAUUUCCCCAAGGUUUAGCAAAGGUGCUAAUACCUUUUAGAAUCAAGCCCUCGGAGGACAUAACAGAUCCUAUUUCUCGUUCUUCUGACUUGCGACUAGCGACCAGGUCAUUCUCUUGUGGCAUGAGGCGGCCCGAUGUAGGCGAUCAAACACCUGUAGGUACGGUAGUGAUUGAGUGAAUGGCUGGCUAGUCCCGACUUAUUCAUGGCACACGAGUCAUUUCAAUGUUGUGAGCGUUUUGUCAGAGCAAUGGUUGAAAUCUUGAGCAGCAAGCAAUCAGCUUCUAUUAUCAAAUCUGUCCUUCGGAGACGAAGAAAGAAUAACAUCUGGUUGGUGCUUUUUCCCAAGCGACAGUUUCCAGUCUAAAAACAACAGUUUGAUUCAAUUGAUAGAGAUGAAAAGUGUAGGCUUUUCCGGGGUUGAUAGCACUCACUUUGCCUGAGUACUGGCAGCUUCUUAUCAUGUUCAGAUUAUCCAGGUAGCAAAUAUGCGCUCCAACCAAAUUGUAACAGAGCGAGGAUAUCAGGGCAAAACAUAGGUAUGGCAUAGUGUAAGGCCGUGGAAUGAAGGGCAGUGCUGAUAGCUUCAUGCGCCAGAGGCACGUGACUCAUACAACCUCAGAAACUCAGGUAGGAUUGGCAAGCUAGCGAACACCGAAUAGCUGCAAACAAUACAGAGUACACACACUACACGUUCUAUAGCGAUCGUAUCUUUACUCCUUUUCCGUACUACUAAGCCUGUCUACCUCUUACACAUAGGAAACUAAGAGGACGUGAGCUGAAGAGAAGAAACUAAUCUACACGGAUUUAUGCCUGCGCAUGGCAUGAUUUAUGAUGGUAUAUGCCUUCGGAACCCACAAAAGUGUAC